CUUUGAAUCCCUUAAAGAUGACAACAUCUUAUCAACAAGACGGCCUCUUCCUUCUCACCCAGACUCUUAUCUCUAGUAACAACUAAUUUGGGAUUAUUUUGGAAACUACACUUAAAAGCUGAUCAUAAUUUCAUAAGACCCAUAAUUGCAAAAUCAAAUUCGACCACCGACGAAUUGCAUUAUUGAUUUCUUUGAGGGAGAGUGAAGAUCAUGGCUUGCUUAGAUUGUUGCAUCUUAUCUAUAACAAUGGUGAUAGUGGAGGCAAAGGAGAGAGAAAAGGGGUAAAAUGGUCACUCAAAUGAGAGAAGUACCUAAUCUUAUGAGAAUAUUGAAAAAUGGUAUGGGAGCAAAUGACACAAGGUUUUUUGUGCUUUAUCAAUAAUUGAUCCCUAUUAAGUUACAGUCCACCUUUUCUGAAGCUUCUGAUUUCGCCAACAAUCAGCGGAGGUGUAUUGGCGACGGAAGCAAUGUUGUUAAUUUUCGGAAAUGACGUCUAGGGUUUGUGAUUAAAAUGAAUUGGGGGUUUCAAUUUAUAGAGGCAAGAGUUCAGAUUUUUUUGGAGUUACAUCAAUUUCCAGUACGUGCAGCAAAACAAUAUGCGAUUGAGACUUUCAAUGACUAUUCUAUUUACAAGUUUCAUCUCAUAUAUUCAUACAACUUGUUAUUUGUGUUCCCUAUCAUCCUUAGGGUUUAGUUUUCUGUACUUAUAAACAAUUUGCUAUUUCUCCAAACAAAGUGAAGCUCGAAAGCGAAAUGACUUUUUUUUUGCUGAUGCUACUGAAAAUUGUUUGGGUGAAAACAACGUCACGUAACCCAGCCGUAUUCAAUUCUUCUCAUGCUUC